CAGCAGCCGCGGUAAUACGAAGGGUGCAAGCGUUAAUCGGAAUUACUGGGCGUAAAGCGUGCGUAGGCGGUUUGUUAAGUCUGCUGUGAAAUCCCCGGGCUCAACCUGGGAAUGGCAGUGGAUACUGGCAAGCUAGAGUGUGUCAGAGGAUGGUGGAAUUCCCGGUGUAGCGGUGAAAUGCGUAGAGAUCGGGAGGAACAUCAGUGGCGAAGGCGGCCAUCUGGGACAACACUGACGCUGAGGCACGAAAGCGUGGGGAGCAAACAGGAUUAGAUACCCGAGUAGUCCCUGUCUCUUAUAC
rnacentral:rRNA from 1 species